rnacentral:rRNA from 1 species
GCUAACUCCGUGCCAGCAGCCGCGGUAAUACGGAGGGUGCGAGCGUUAAUCGGAAUUACUGGGCGUAAAGCGCGCGUAGGCGGCCUGAUAAGCCGGUUGUGAAAGCCCCGGGCUCAACCUGGGAACGGCAUCCGGAACUGUCAGGCUAGAGUGCAGGAGAGGAAGGUAGAAUUCCCGGUGUAGCGGUGAAAUGCGUAGAGAUCGGGAGGAAUACCAGUGGCGAAGGCGGCCUUCUGGACUGACACUGACGCUGAGGUGCGAAAGCGUGGGUAGCAAACAGGAUUAGAUACCCUUGUAGUC